CCAGACCAGAGGCUGGGGGCCGGCAGAUGGAGAGAGAGUGGUUAAUGGAGGCUGCAGGCACCACCUUGGCAUGUAUAACGUUAUGGUUUAGAGAGGGGUUAAUGAACGCACCUCCAAGGUGCUUUCAUUAACCCCUACAAACCAAUAACU